rnacentral:lncRNA from 1 species
CGGGGACUGUGGGAGGAUAGGCUCAGCACCGCCUCUGCGAAAGGCGGUGCCGAGAUGGGCUGGGCCAGGGUCGGCCGACCCUAGGGGGCGGCCGCCCCCUAGUGGGCCCCGCUGGCCCCGGCCCGAAGCCCGUUGCCAUCCUCUCGGGCCCCUGAGUCCAGAUCCACCUGCAAAUUGAUGCACUUCUAUAUUGGGCUUUUGGGUACUUGUUUAUUUGCGCAUUUUUUGACGUGUCGGAUUGCGCCUUUUUAUUUGCUUUCCACCUGUAUGCCUGUAUAUGAUCUACAAAACACAACUUGCACUACAUGUGGAACUUGGUAAGCAUUUAAUAAGUAUAUGUGAGUAAAAUACAUGAUUUUCUUCCUUUGCAUGAACUAUGUUGGCGGGGUAAAUAUGUCAUUAAGAACCGCCAACAAACACCUCCAAGUUUACCACUUGCUCGUCCUCGAGCAAGAACUAAGAUCUUGGUUGUUGAUCAGGAGUUGCUACAAUAUUUUCACUUCUAUCCAGUACAUACCUUCAAACAAGAAUUCUCCUUUGAAUUUUGAACAGAUAUGUCAUGGGGCUUAUUGCUGAUACCUUGGGUCCUUAAGCAUUUGCAGGAUGGAUUUGAUCAGAUCGAGUGCUAUAUCCCUAGUUCUUUACUUCACCUUUGUUCUGGAGUUUUUUUAUUUUCAAAACUUAGCACAUUUAUUUGUCAAAUUAAACAAUGGAUCCAAAGAGAAAGUUAAUCAUACCAUUAAAUUUUUGAAAACUUUUAUUUCCAUCAUUCUCUUUUUGUCUAUUAGAGACACAUGGCUAUGUGGCUAAUUCUACUGUUGGGCACUUGCCUAUUUUUUUAUUUUUAUUUUUUUCGAGGUUCCGGACACAUGUCCCUUUUUAUUUCCUCGUGAUCUUUCUUUUUGAGGUUUCAGACACAUGUCCCUUUUUAUUUCGUCUGAUGCUUUUUUUUCUUUUUCAUAGCCAUAUGCCUUCUAACAAACUUUUGAGAUGAUAACAUAAUGAAAUAUUUUUGUUUUCAAUGGUAUGACAACCUCUCAAAGGGUCAACAAAGCUUAAUCUAACUCAAUGUGAUUAUUUUAUUUUUGUAAAAACUCCAGAACUCUAGCGUUGUUUAGAACAGGAUACUAGCAGCUCGGAUCAUCACAAAUAUAUCCAUUAAUUACUUUAGACUUUAGAUAGAGCAUUUUGCAACCCUCGCAUUUAAUCAUUUUAUUAAUUUGGAGAAUUCAAGGUUGAAACUAGAUACUGGAAAGAAAUUACGAUAGAGCAACUAUUCAUCAUUUCAACAAGGAAGAAGCAUAUAUCUUACAUCACAUAUAAGAGUGGAAUUAUAUUUUUGUCUUUUUAGCAUUUUUCAUUUUUUUUAUAUGCAAUAAUUAAAACAUGGAAAUUUCAUAAAGUAAACAUGCUAAUUUAAAAUUAAGGAUGCAUGAAAAUAAAUAUGCAAUGCAGAUAACCUUGGGAUUGGAGGUCCUCCCCCAAGCUAGCUUCUGGCCUACUGAUCGGGGUUGUACCCCAUGUACCACCAGAAGUCUUGGGACUGUUUCAGCAGCUGAUCUUGGCGAGCUUGCAUUUCAUCUUGCUGCUGCUGGUCCCAGGCCUGUUGUUGCUGUUGCCAUAGCAACCCUUGCUGGUGCCACUCCACGACCUGCUGGUGGUGCGCAUCGGUGGUUUGGAUGUGUUGUUGGAGAGUAUCCUGGAUCUCAUCCGUGCGCACCACCAGUCCCCCAAGCUGAGCUUGGAGGCGCUCCAAGUCGGUUCGGCCUACUGUGGAGGUCGAAGGAUAUUCUUCUGGUGAUUCAGCCCUCCAGCACGAUUGUUGUUCCCAAGCUCUGGAAUCCGCCUCAGCCCACCCCUCAACACCUUGUGUCGGCAUGGGUGUGUCCCACCCCGAGUGGUAGAUUGGCUGUGUAUAGGAGGGUGGUGGCUGGGAGCUGGAUCCGCCGAUGUCCCUGCCAGAAACACUACGCCUUCGUGCAGUUUCAGCUGUCUGCAGAUCAAAGGUUAGUCUCCCAGAGUUAUACAAGUGUACACCCGGGUUAGGUAACCGGAUUACGUUUGUAUACCCUGGGAAAUAAAACACAAGACCGCCCGCAUUAUCUCUUUUCAAAUGGUGACCUUGGAUAAGAUAGGUUUCAUUAAUCAUGGUGCUUGGAAUUUGAAUAUAAUCAAGAUCUUGCCCUUCCAACGCACCAAUGGCCGUGGCCACAUGUGUUAUGUGUGAAGUCAAAGAGAUAGGGGUGGUUGUCUUGAUUAUAUCUAACCAAUGCCUUAUAAUUUCUUGCACAGGCGCAACUUUUAUUUUCAUUCUAGCCACGUAAAGUAACCUCAUUUCAUUUACUUGCACAACGCGGGUAUCCUGGCUAGGAACAUUGUUAUGGAUAGCCAAAGGUGUAAAAACCUUAGAGUGGGGUGUUGGAUGUGGGCAUUUCUAGGAUAGUAUUUUCCAGUGUGAACUUGCGCCGUGAUUUCUUCCCAAAACUUAUCCUUAUUAAACCCUUUUGUGGCAUGCACUAAAUCAAGAGAGCAUCUUUGAUGAAAACCAAGGUAUUUGCUUAAGUCUUUCCAAAAGAUAGCAUAUUCAUUUCCAAAUAAAUGAACAGAAAUACCUUCAUAUGUUUCUCUUAAAGUGCAUAGGAAUUGAAUGGUAAGGGUAUAGGAUCCAUACUCAGUUAUGGGGUGAAUGUUGUCCCACCUGGCGGCUUUCCAUAUGGAGAGGAAUUCAGAGUCCAUACCGAUGUCGGAGAGGAGCGAGUCGUCGUAGACCGGCGUAUGGAGGAAGAUCCGGUCCUUGAGCAUGUUGUAGGCUUGAUGUUCUCGAUCACCCACCAAGUCGAAUUGGUGGGCUCCUCCUUCUUCAUGUUGUUCCUCCUCUUGUUCCUCUUCUUCUUCCUCUACCUCUUCCUCUACCUCCUCGAUCUCCGAGGAUUCUUCCUCAGCGGAAGGACUCCAUCGGGGAUCGGUGUAGUAUGAGGAAGUGCUCCGAUAGGGGCGCUUCGAGAAUGACCUCGUGACUCUUUUAAACGCCCCCGAAACUGUUUUGCCGAACCUUUUCAUGGUGCAAUGCUUGCACCAGUGGAUAGCUAGCUUGGAUAGGUGAUUUUUUUGUGAGGUUUCUGCUGGUGGUUGGUUGGAAAUAGCAAAGAUGUGAAAGUGUUGCUUGGAGAGUGAAGAUGGAAGUGAUGAAGUGAAGUGAGAAUGGGUGGAGAGGGCCACACCCGAACCCCUGGUAUUUAUAGUUUGAAAAUGCAGGUGGAUUCGGGGUGAGGGCAACGGCUAGGAGCCUCCCCCAGCUGGCCGUUGGCCAGAGCCAUUGGGGGGUCGGCCGACCCUAGGGGCGGCCGCCCCCUGGUGGGCCCCGCUGCUCCCUAACUUUUGUCUCCAUCUUCCAACGGCUAGUUUUUGAAGUUUUUCGUUGGCAUAUUGAUGCACUUCUAGCUGAAAAAAUGACUUUUGCAAUUUCCAACAUUUAUUUGUAAAAUUUUUAUUUUUGAAAAAUUUAGGAAAAAUAUUUUUCUAUUAUUUUAUUUUAUUUUCUAGCUGAAAAUGAAUUUUUGAAUAUUUUUCAAAAAAAUUAUAUAUAUAUAUAUAUAUUUAAGAUAACUACCGAUUACCUUCGGCAGAGGCUCAAAAAAAUGUUUAUAGUCCUUUUUGAGAAGGACUCUCUUCCGUCGUUUGAAUUUCACCCUGCAUGGUUAGUGGGAGAGUUCUCGGGUUACCCCGGGAGUCUACCCGCAUUCUCAGUAGGAAUUGCAGCGGCGAUCUGAGCUACUUGUGUUUCUAUCAUUUUAUUAAAGCUCAGUUGGUUUUGUACGGAAGAGGCAAGGUUUUCUAUUUUUGUAUUUAUGUUUUCUAAAACCUUAUCAUUGGACAGCAACUUUUUAGUUAAGUUUUCAUUUAUUUUAGCUUGUCCAAGAACUAGGUCUUUUAAUGAAGGUUGAUUCGAAUUAAAACUCGAAUUACCUUGGAAUGAAGAGCGUGACUGAUUAUUCCAACCAUUACCUUGGUUGGCGCCUCCUUGUUGGCGAAACCCGUUGUUGAUGUAGGCAGCGUCUUCACGGGUUUCGGGGCAAUCAUUCCCCGAAUGGCCAACUUCUCCACAGACCUCGCACGUCAUUAGCGAGUCUAUGGCCUUCACCGAGUUCGAGGGGUUCUCUUGGUUCCUCUCGGUGAGUUGCUUCAUCAAUAAAUCUAUUUUUGCGGCAAGCAUAUCCGUCUCCUUCACGGUAUGCAUGCCUUUUUGUGUUUUGGCAGCUGGUGGUUGAGUUCUGUCCUCCCCCCAGCUCUGGUGUUCUACCAUCUUCUCGAUCAGGGCCUUGGCCCCGGCGGUGGUAAGUGAUAGGAACGCGCCUCCAGCGGUGGCGUCUAGGUGUCCCUUCGACAUGGGCGUGAGCCCAUUGUAGAAGUUCUGGAGCACCAUCCAGUUCUCCAUGCCAUGAUGGGGGCAGCUUAGGAUGUACUCUUGUAGCCGCUCCCACGCUUCAGGGAUUGUUUCGCUGGCAUUUUGUUGAAAACUGGCAAUCCUUCCCCUCAAAGCAUUGGUUUUGCUUAUGGGGAAGAACUUGGCAAGGAAUGCCGCGAAGCAUUUUGCCCACGUGGUGACAGCUUCCUUAUCUUGAUAGAACCACCUCUUCGCCUGCCCCACGAGGGAGAAAGGAAAGAGGCGGAGCCGAAUGACAUCAGGAGUGAUGUCCUUGAUGACAAUCGUGUCACAUAGGUCCAGGAAGUGUUGAAGGUGUGCAUUCGCAUCCUCGCUUGGCAAGCCACAGAAUGGGCUCGCCUGCACCAUGGUGAUCAGGCCGGUGCGUAGCUCGAAGUUCUUGCUGGUCAUGUCAACAGCGGGGCCAGUGGCCACGUUGGUGACAGCGGGCACGGAGAACUCGCGGAGUGUCUUCUCGGCGGCCAUGAGUUCGUUCGGGGUUGGUGCGGUAACGGCUGGUUCACUUGUCGGUGGAGUAGCAGAAGACGAAACGGUUCGAGACCGUCUAGUCCUUAGGAGUGCCUCGGGAUCGGAGAUGUAGUUUUCCGGCGAAGAGAAACCACGCAUACACUAUUCCUCCUGUUUCAUCCACAACAGGGAGAAAAAUAGACAGAGUUAGCCUGCAUAACAAUUGACUCAUUACGCACAUCAGAUUACUUGAUUAUAUUUAUCUAGAAUCAUUUUCAUAUUAGCCUUCCCAAGGCAACGGCGCCAGAAAUGCAUGUUGGCAUUUCUUAACGUCAUCACUAAGAACAGGGUUUAAUCCGUCCUCAGCAACGAUGUCAGAAAUGUCGUGAUAACACUUACUAAUGCAAUCACCAAGAUUAGAGUAUAAAUCUAUCCUAAGCAACGGUGCCAGAAAUGCUUGUUAGCGUUUCUUAGCGUCGCUACCUAGAAUAGGGUUCUGCUCUACUCAUGAUAAUGACAUUGGCAGUGUUAUAUUGGCAGAUCCGUAGCAUCACCACCUUGAAUAGGAAGCUAGAUCUACCUUCCCGAUAACGGCGCCUUAUUACCGUUAGGGUAGGGAUCCAGUUCUUAAUCAUGGUAGUGGCACUAGGAUUGUCAUGUUGGUAUUCCUUAACAAGUCACUAGCUCGGCGCAUGUCUAGCAACAGUGUUAAGUAUAUACAGGGGUGAUAGUUCCUUAGGUUUGGAGUUUAAGUACCGCAAGCGGACGGGAAUUAUCGUGUAGCAUUUCAACCCGGGGAUUUACCGAGUGUCGUAUUUAUAGGUUCGUUCUAAGGAGGGCUUAAUAUGUUAAGGAUUCUAAAAUAAGCAUAGAUCAAAGUAAUUAUGAUAGCAAUAAUGGAAUCAAAAGUCAUAGCAGGUGAUAAACAUUUAUAUGUAGAAUAGUGAUCCAUCACAAUCUAGGCAUGGCAUAUGGGCUAAGGAAUAAAAAAGAGACUAAAAGAAUGAAUUGAAUCAAAGAAUAAACAAACAACCUAUUGGAGUAGGUGUGGUCCUAGAUACAGAUCAUGUCAUAGAACAAGUUAAUCAUGUAAUUAUACUACUUAGAUCUAGUCCUGUGUUUAGAUGGUUUGGGAGGUUACGCGAGUACUGGUCUGCCAGCAACCUCCGCAACUAUUUAGACUCCUACACCCUAGCCGAACGUGGGGGAAUGCCAAGGAUGGACAGGGCUGUCACCACCUGCCGCCAUCCCCUCAACCGUGGACUAGGACAAUGCAUUUACCCGGCCUUUACACCCAAGCACCAUGCUUACAUACAAAGAACCUACUCGGACUCCCCUGGGUCCCCGACCCUACGGAUCGACAGGUAAGAAGCCCGAGCCUACUCAAAAGAGCAUGAUAAACCCCCAUCUUCACACAAAGCUAUUUCUAGGCAAUUAAUUAACAUGAAGCAAUUAGACUAAAGUCCUAAGUGAGAAUAAUACAACAUACACUUAGCACUAGUUCAUAUAAUACACUACUGGCCCUAGGGUAGCAUUAUACUAUAAGAACUAUAUACUGAAAUGUAUGUCAUACCAUUUCCACUAGAACUAUAUUCUAGUUCAUAUGCUAGCAUCAUAAAACAUGGCCUAUGAUCUAUAUCAUAUACCAUAACAUAAGAACUAUACUCUAGUUCAUAUGAAGAACUAUAUCGGACAUGAUAAGGCAUGGACUUGGAGUAAAGAUAUUCUUUAUUCAUACCCAAGUUUCUCUCCAAGGAGCCAAGCCCUCCUUGAUAGCUCACCCAACUCUCUCUCUAAAAGCUAGAAGGAAAAACUAAGAAGAGGUAGUGCCCAAGUGCCUUGAAGGUGGAGUGUUGAUUGUGAAUGUGAUGAGAUGAAUGGAGCCUCCCUCUCCCCCACCUUAAAUAGGAUGGGAAGGUCGGUUCCCUAGGGUGUAAACUGCAAUUUGCACGCGGGGACUGCGGGAGGAUAGGCUCAGCACCGCCUCUGCGAAAGGCGGUGCCGAGAUGGGCUGGGCCAGGGUCGGCCGACCCUAGGGGGCGGCCGCCCCCUGGUGGGCCCCGCUGGUCCCGGCCCAAAGCCCGUUGCCUUCCUCUCGGGCCCCUGAGUCCAAAUCCACCUGCAAAUUGAUGCACUUCUAUAUUGGGCUUUUGGGUACUUGUUUAUUUGCGCAUUUUUUGACAUGUCGGAUUGCGCCUUUUUAUUUGCUUUCCACCUGUAUGCCUGUAUAUGAUCUGCAAAACACAACUUGCACUACAUGUGGAACUUGGUAAGCAUUUAAUAAGUAUAUGUGAGUAAAAUACAUGCUUUUCUUCCUUUGCAUGGACUAUGUUGGCGGG